GACGAACGCUGGCGGCGUGCCUAAUACAUGCAAGUAGAACGCACAGUUUAUACCGUAGCUUGCUCCACCAUAGACUGUGAGUUGCGAACGGGUGAGUAACGCAUAGGUAACCUGCCUGGUAGCGGGGGAUAACUAUUGGAAACGAUAGCUAAUACCGCAUAAUAUUGAUUAUUGCAUGAUAAUUAAUUGAAAGGUGCAAUUGCACCACUACCAGAUGGACCUGCGUUGUAUUAGCUAGUAGGUGAGGUAACGGCUCACCUAGGCGACGAUACAUAGCCGACCUGAGAGGGUGAUCGGCCACACUGGGACUGAGACACGGCCCAGACUCCUACGGGAGGCAGCAGUAGGGAAUCUUCGGCAAUGGACGAAAGUCUGACCGAGCAACGCCGCGUGAGUGAAGAAGGUUGUCGGAUCGUAAAGCUCUGUUGUAAGAGAAGAACGGGUGUGAGAGUGGAAAGUUCACACUGUGACGGUAUCUUACCAGAAAGGGACGGCUAACUACGUG
rnacentral:rRNA from 1 species